rnacentral:ribozyme from 13 species
GAAGGAGGAAAGAGAGAAAAAAGAAGAAAGAGAAAUGAAAGAAGAAGAGAGAUCUCUUUCUGAGUUGAUUUCUGUUUUAUUUCCUUGCUGCAUUUUUCCUCUCU